UACGUAGGGAGCGAGCGUUAUCCGGAAUUAUUGGGCGUAAAGCGUGCGUAGGCGGUUUGUUAAGUCGAAUCUGAAAGCCCCCAGCUUAACUGGGGAGAGUGAUUCGAAACUGGCAAACUUGAGUAUGGCAGAGGUAAGUGGAAUUUCAUGUGUAGCGGUGGAAUGCGUAGAUAUAUGAAGGAACACCAGUGGCGAAGGCGGCUUACUGGACCAGAACUGACGCUGAGGCACGAAAGCGUGGGGAGCAAAC
rnacentral:rRNA from 1 species